rnacentral:hammerhead_ribozyme from 1 species
GUACUACUGAAGAGUCCAAAACUAGGACGAAAUAGCUGUCCAGCAC